rnacentral:rRNA from 1 species
GAUGAACGCUGGCGGCGUGCCUAAUACAUGCAAGUCGAGCGAACGGACGAGAAGCUUUCUUCUCUGAUGUUAGCGGCGGACGGGUGAGUAACACGUGGAUAACCUACCUAUAAGACUGGGAUAACUUCGGGAAACCGGAGCUAAUAACGGAUGAUAUUUUGAACCGCAUGGUUCAAAAGUGAAAGACGGUCUUGCUGUCACUUAUAGAUGGAUCCGCGCUGCAUUAGCUAGUUGGUAAGGUAACGGCUUACCAAGGCAACGAUGCAUAGCCGACCUGAGAGGGUGAUCGGCCACACUGGAACUGAGACACGGUCCAGACUCCUACGGGAGGCAGCAGUAGGGAAUCUUCCGCAAUGGGCGAAAGCCUGACGGAGCAACGCCGCGUGGGUGAUGAAGGUCUUCGGAUCGUAAAACUCUGUUAUUAGGGAAGAACAUAUGUGUAAGUAACUGUGCACAUCUUGACGGUACCUAAUCAGAAAGCCACGGCUAACUACGUG